GGAGGGUGCCUCUAAGCCUCACUUGUCCUGCCUGUCAAAUGGGGUGGGGUGGGGGGGUUGGCCUUUCC
rnacentral:pre_miRNA from 1 species